UACGAAGGGGGCUAGCGUUGUUCGGAUUAACUGGGCGUAAAGCGCACGUAGGCGGAUCGUUAAGUCGGGGGUGAAAUCCUGGAGCUCAACUCCAGAACUGCCUUCGAUACUGGCGAUCUUGAGUCCGGAAGAGGUGAGUGGAACUCCUAGUGUAGAGGUGGAAUUCGUAGAUAUUAGGAAGAACACCAGUGGCGAAGGCGGCUCACUGGUCCGGUACUGACGCUGAGGUGCGAAAGCGUGGGGAGCAAACAGG
rnacentral:rRNA from 1 species